rnacentral:tRNA from 1 species
GGGGAUAUAGCUCAGUUGGUAGAGUGCUUGCCUAGUAUGCAGAAUUCCUUAGGUUCAAUCCUCAGUACCACCA